rnacentral:lncRNA from 1 species
UAUUUUAAGCCUGUUAUGUUUUAGAUCUUUUUAAAAUGGAAUGGCCGAAAUGAAUGGACCUCAAGUCCGCUAUCUCGAAACAAAUUAUCCAUAUUUCGGCCCCGAUUUCAGGCCCAUUUUCGGGCCCGUUGCUGUUAUUAAUUAGGGAGCUGCCAUAUCCCUUUUGUGUCAGAAUAUGUUAUCACAUUGUGGUUAGUUUGGAGGGGAGGUGACAGCCUUUUCACAUUUAAAAGGACAGCAUGAAGCGACAUAAAGGAUUAGAGAAAAAAAAUUAAAGAGACUCCCCAAUUCUCCCCCAAAAAACCCCCUAAAACCAUACACAAACCCACAAAGUCCCAAGAAAUAAAUAUUACAAAACACUAAAAAAUGAAAAGAAUUUACAAGUCUCUUUUGUCGUCAUCACCCAUGUAGAAGCCGCCAAAGGAGAAUUUUAUCGUCACCCACGAAGGGCGCCGCCACCUAAAACACGACAAAAACGAAGCUUCGUAUUGAAGGUAUAUCAUUCAAAACAUCUCUUUUCGAAAUCAUUCACAUAUCAUUUAUACAUACACAUCGGUAUGCUUUAUCGCUUAGUCACCGUCUAAACUACUCUUGAAUCCAAUGUUCAUUUCGACUAACCAAAUAAACGAUUCAUUUUAAUAAACAACAAACCAAUAAGUGAAAUAAACCUCUAAAAUCAAAUAAAGAUUGCAGGAAAAUAUGUUAACAAUGGAACCUAUGGUCAUCUUUCAACAUUUUUGCACCGAGGACUUAAAGAACUAUGCAACUCGUGAUAUGAUCGAGCUAAAAUAUGAAUUUUUGGCCAUAUAAUAUUGCUGAGAUUUUAUUAAAAGUAAUAAAAUGGUCAAGUUUUUCAAACAGAAAAUUGUUUUAUAAACAUGUAGAUUACUACUCCAGUUUCAGUAACAAAAUAAAUCAAGUUUUCAUCUUAGACAAACUCAUCAACAACAGAACAAUCACUUUUACCUAAACAAAUGAGAACAAGUUAGAGACUAGUUGAUUCACCUUUUAGAUGCAGUCUUUUCCUUUUCCUCCCUAUUUCUAGAGCAAGUUUGUUCUACCCAUUUUCGUAGACCUGAAAAAAUCAAAGAAAUCGUUAGUUAGAUUCGUUAGUAACUAACAAAAAAUUAAUAAAAGAAACAAAGCAAAUUUUUUUACCUAACACUCUUUCUCUCCAUAUGUCUCCUCAUCGCUAUCGCCGGCCGCGUCGUCGGCGGCGAGGUCUCCUUCCUCUCCACCGUAUAUCAACCUAAAAAAAAGAAAGCAAGUCAGAAAAAGCUAUCCAAACAAAACAUAAAAUCCUAGAUCCGUAGAUAUGGGCUUGCAUGUCGUCGGAAAUGCCUCUGGCGAGUCCUCCGACAACAUGCAAGCUCGAAUCUGGUUAAAUCGAAAAAAUAAAAGGGGAGGAAGUCAGAUCUGAGUUUGACCUUGAUUUUUUUCUUCUUAACAGUCGAGGGAGGGGUAGCGGCGCCGCUGCCGCCGCCGUUGUGAGUGCCGAGAGGGAAGAAGGAGAGGAGAAGAAGGAGAAGAAGGGAAAGGAGAAGAGAAAAAAAAAGGGAGAAGGGAGAGAGCCAACGCUGCCGCUGG